CUGCAUGGUGGUGCAGUUGGUAGCACCGUUGCUUGUCAAAAAAAGGGUCCCUGGUUCGAAUCCUGGCGUAGA